AGAUUCGUUGAGAAUCCGGUCACACCCGUGCAUUACACUUCCUCGGUAAAGUAAUUGUUUUAGAACUAAUUGGCCUGUCUCUCAUUUACACCAAGUCCUUUUUAUCCCAGUGUAAAGGAGUCUUAAUGCAGGUGUACUGUAAUUUAGUCCCAUAUUAAGGCCCUUUUACCUGGCUGGUGUAAGAAUCAGAUCCUUUGACAACGUGACUUGAUUAGAGGAAGCCCUGGUUUUAGAUUGCCGCCAUGCUGGGGAAGAUGGUAGCGGCUGUUACAACCUUUACAUGCCUGAUGAUGCUCAGCAACUUACAAACUAAUGAGGCCACAGAGGUGCCGAGCAAUCGGGUGAAUGGGAUUGUCCAUGGCACUGUGUAUCUGAACCCCAAACAGUCAAUCCCAGAGAAAUACAAGCAGAUCACCUGGUGGUUCAAGAAGUCCCUAAAGAUCCUGACUAAAAAAUGGGAUCAGCCAGUGUCUUACCGCAAUGGCUCUUUUCAUAAUAAACUGCAUUACCAUGAGAAUCACACCCUGGAAAUUAACCAGCUGCAGAAGCAAGAUAGCGGCACCUUCCGGAUGGAAGUGGAAGACAGCCAAAGCAAGAAGUCAAAUGAAGAUAUCCAGCUGGACGUGUACGAGCCCAUCCCUAAGCCCAGUGUGAAGGUCACUUCCAGGGUCAACAAAGAUGGAUGGUGCAAGGCCACCCUGGAGUGCAUUGUGGCUGCCACCCAAGUGACCUACCACUGGUGUGAGAAUGAAGAGGAUUUAGUGGGCAAUAAUAGCAGCACACUGGACGUUGCGUUAAAGUCAGAAAGUGACGCAUCUUACAAAUGCAUCGUCAGCAACCCCGUCAGCGAAGAGACGGGCUUCAUCUAUUACAGAAGCCCUUGCACAUGGAAUGAGAAAAACUCAGCUGUGCCCGUGUCCAUGGCUCGGAAGAUGGCUGAUUCCAUUCUGGCAUUUGGAUUUCUCCUCCUCGUCCAUAACUGGGUCUAGGGCUGGGGAGUCAAGAGAACGCAACGAACUCCUCCAUUGCCUCCGCCUGGUGAAACACACAAGACCAAAAUGAACACCAGAAAUAACAGCGUUCGACAGUCAUCUACCAUCUUGCCAACACACUGGAGAUUAAGCUAGGGACUUUCUUAGGGUCUUGAACCCAGGCCUGGGAGUCCUUGGAUAGCUGCUGCUGCAUCCUGGCCCCUGCACCCCCUGUCAGCUGAAACCUAGAGUGCCC